rnacentral:rRNA from 1 species
GGUGUGUGUUAGUGGAAGCGUCUGGAAAGGCGCGCGAUACAGGGUGACAGCCCCGUACACAAAAAUGCACAUAUUGUGAGCUCGAUGAGUAGGGCGGGACACGUGGUAUCCUGUCUGAAUAUGGGGGGACCAUCCUCCAAGGCUAAAUACUCCUGACUGACCGAUAGUGAACCAGUACCGUGAGGGAAAGGCGAAAAGAACCCCGGCGAGGGGAGUGAAAAAGAACCUGAAACCGUGUACGUACAAGCAGUGGGAGCACGCUUAGGCGUGUGACUGCGUACCUUUUGUAUAAUGGGUCAGCGACUUAUAUUCUGUAGCAAGGUUAACCGAAUAGGGGAGCCGAAGGGAAACCGAGUCUUAACUGGGCGUUAAGUUGCAGGGUAUAGACCCGAAACCCGGUGAUCUAGCCAUGGGCAGGUUGAAGGUUGGGUAACACUAACUGGAGGACCGAACCGACUAAUGUUGAAAAAUUAGCGGAUGACUUGUGGCUGGGGGUGAAAGGCCAAUCAAACCGGGAGAUAGCUGGUUCUCCCCGAAAGCUAUUUAGGUAGCGCCUCGUGAAUUCAUCUCCGGGGGUAGAGCACUGUUUCGGCAAGGGGGUCAUCCCGACUUACCAACCCGAUGCAAACUGCGAAUACCGGAGAAUGUUAUCACGGGAGACACACGGCGGGUGCUAACGUCCGUCGUGAAGAGGGAAACAACCCAGACCGCCAGCUAAGGUCCCAAAGUCAUGGUUAAGUGGGAAACGAUGUGGGAAGGCCCAGACAGCCAGGAUGUUGGCUUAGAAGCAGCCAUCAUUUAAAGAAAGCGUAAUAGCUCACUGGUCGAGUCGGCCUGCGCGGAAGAUGUAACGGGGCUAAACCAUGCACCGAAGCUGCGGCAGCGACGCUGAUGCGUUGUUGGGUAGGGGAGCGUUCUGUAAGCCUGCGAAGGUGUGCUGUGAGGCAUGCUGGAGGUAUCAGAAGUGCGAAUGCUGACAUAAGUAACGAUAAAGCGGGUGAAAAGCCCGCUCGCCGGAAGACCAAGGGUUCCUGUCCAACGUUAAUCGGGGCAGGGUGAGUCGACCCCUAAGGCGAGGCCGAAAGGCGUAGUCGAUGGGAAACAGGUUAAUAUUCCUGUACUUGGUGUUACUGCGAAGGGGGGACGGAGAAGGCUAUGUUGGCCGGGCGACGGUUGUCCCGGUUUAAGCGUGUAGGCUGGUUUUCCAGGCAAAUCCGGAAAAUCAAGGCUGAGGCGUGAUGACGAGGCACUACGGUGCUGAAGCAACAAAUGCCCUGCUUCCAGGAAAAGCCUCUAAGCAUCAGGUAACAUCAAAUCGUACCCCAAACCGACACAGGUGGUCAGGUAGAGAAUACCAAGGCGCUUGAGAGAACUCGGGUGAAGGAACUAGGCAAAAUGGUGCCGUAACUUCGGGAGAAGGCACGCUGAUAUGUAGGUGAAGUCCCUCGCGGAUGGAGCUGAAAUCAGUCGAAGAUACCAGCUGGCUGCAACUGUUUAUUAAAAACACAGCACUGUGCAAACACGAAAGUGGACGUAUACGGUGUGACGCCUGCCCGGUGCCGGAAGGUUAAUUGAUGGGGUUAGCCGCAAGGCGAAGCUCUUGAUCGAAGCCCCGGUAAACGGCGGCCGUAACUAUAACGGUCCUAAGGUAGCGAAAUUCCUUGUCGGGUAAGUUCCGACCUGCACGAAUGGCGUAAUGAUGGCCAGGCUGUCUCCACCCGAGACUCAGUGAAAUUGAACUCGCUGUGAAGAUGCAGUGUACCCGCGGCAAGACGGAAAGACCCCGUGAACCUUUACUAUAGCUUGACACUGAACAUUGAGCCUUGAUGUGUAGGAUAGGUGGGAGGCUUUGAAGUGUGGACGCCAGUCUGCAUGGAGCCGACCUUGAAAUACCACCCUUUAAUGUUUGAUGUUCUAACGUUGACCCGUAAUCCGGGUUGCGGACAGUGUCUGGUGGGUAGUUUGACUGGGGCGGUCUCCUCCUAAAGAGUAACGGAGGAGCACGAAGGUUGGCUAAUCCUGGUCGGACAUCAGGAGGUUAGUGCAAUGGCAUAAGCCAGCUUGACUGCGAGCGUGACGGCGCGAGCAGGUGCGAAAGCAGGUCAUAGUGAUCCGGUGGUUCUGAAUGGAAGGGCCAUCGCUCAACGGAUAAAAGGUACUCCGGGGAUAACAGGCUGAUACCGCCCAAGAGUUCAUAUCGACGGCGGUGUUUGGCACCUCGAUGUCGGCUCAUCACAUCCUGGGGCUGAAGUAGGUCCCAAGGGUAUGGCUGUUCGCCAUUUAAAGUGGUACGCGAGCUGGGUUUAGAACGUCGUGAGACAGUUCGGUCCCUAUCUGCCGUGGGCGCUGGAGAACUGAGGGGGGCUGCUCCUAGUACGAGAGGACCGGAGUGGACGCAUCACUGGUGUUCGGGUUGUCAUGCCAAUGGCACUGCCCGGUAGCUAAAUGCGGAAGAGAUAAGUGCUGAAAGCAUCUAAGCACGAAACUUGCCCCGAGAUGAGUUCUCCCUGAC